AUAUAAUCCAUGGAGAAGGUGUCCAUGUCAGCUCAAAUAAUCAACCAAUUAGAAAACAGUUAUGUUAAUGAAUAAUUCCACGUCACCGAAGCACUUCUCUUUCGCGUUCUCACCGUCUUACCGACGACGAAAGAAACCGACCUAAUUUGUCGUUACAGUUCAAUCGUAAAUUCUGCAUUCAAUUAUUAUUAAACAAGAAACUCUUCAAAUUCAUCCUGCAUUCCACAUCACUAUAUUAAUCGAUGGCGAGUUCUAGAUUUGAAGAUUCUAAUUACGCAAAGAAGCUGUUUCGUCUCUCCUCUUUGUUCUACGGCGCAAGGUGAUGCCUGAGCUUUUUCCUGAUCAGAGUCGACAAUGAUUCAAGCUUUUGUAAACUGGGAAAACACUGAAAUAUUUCGAUAAAAAGAGUUGACCUUCCACCCCAAAAGACCAUGGAGUCUCUCCAAAUUACACAGAGGUGGCAUCCAGCUCGCUUUGAUCGAUACAGUUGACAAUCACGAAGGCCCUGUUUGUUCUCACUCCAUUGCCUUUCUUCUUCUGAAGAGUGAUCUGUAGAAAGUAAUGAAGAGGAAGGUGGUGCUUACAAUCCACUGAAGCUGCCAAUGGGUUAGGACGGGAAGCCAAUACCAUACUGGCUCUACAAGCUUCAUGGACUUGGCCAGAAGUUGAAUGCAAGAUACGUGGAAACAGUGUCUACAUGGGUAGAAGGGCUUUUGAGAGACAUUUCAAAAAGAGUUUCACCACCAAAUGGAUGCCAGAACUUGAAGAAGACUUACUCUGAUCUCCAACGUCAAGGUUGCGGUUCCACCUUUUCCCAACGAACGGAGCCGUUGCAAGACCUUGACAUACAUCUCAUUAACUCAACUUCGUAAUUGAUAGACGUGGGACCUGAAAAGCUUAAGGAGGCGCUGGGGGCACUGGGGCUGAAAGUUGGUGGUACUUUGCAGCAACGUGCCGAGAGACUUUUCCUUCCAAAGGACUACAACUGUUCGUCUCAGUGCUUUCGAUGUUCAGGCCAGCCAACUUCACCAGAACUUAUUUAGGGUACGUGUCGAGCUUACGGUCAUUGUUUCCACCAGAAUUAGUCCCAAGUUUGUUGGAGGUCGCCUGUUCAUGAUGAUUCAAGUUUAUAUAUUUUGGAACUUGCAAAUAAAGAGAUGUUGACUUGACCAACCGCUGGUUUGGGCGAGUCUGGAGCUAGCUGCUCCACAAGUUCUACUAAAUAUGGUGGUGUAAGGAAAAUUGCGUCUGUUACGGUGUCCGAGCUAAAUGCAUACGCUCUCAAUGCUUCUAGCAGUGUGACAUAUUCUAUGCCUGACGCAGUGGCGCUAUAUGUGUGUCCUGCAUCUGCUCAGAUGGUCAGAAGUUAAAAGAAACUGACAUAGCUAUAGGCAGUGGUGAAAUCCCUGUGAACCCAACGCCUCUGCUGAAUGAAACCACAACAGCUGCUCAAACAACUCUGAUGAAAGCUUAGCUGCAUAAGUUACCCAUAUAUAGUUUCCUGCAUUUUCUGAAACGUCAUUUGCAUUGUCUUUUUCAAAACAUUGUUUGGUUUCAUGUUUCCAACUUAUUUAUCAAUAAAAGCAUAUUCUAAUA